CAGUGGUGCAGUCUCAGCUCACUACAGUCUCCACCAACCAGGUUCAAGUGAUUCUCCUGUCAGCCUCCCAAGUAGUUGGGAUCAUAGACCAAAAUCUUCGAAUGCAUUGGAAAUACGAAAGUAGAGUGUCUCUUGCCCUCCUGGAGUUUGUGAUCUAGUUGCUAGUGAUGAAGGCAAAGUGGAUAUUCAGAGAACAGAGUCAGAACUUCAUCUGGGAUCAGAGCUUCUUGUGUUCACUAUUGCUGGGCCCAAUUGCAAAUGAGACUAGUAUGAUGUCCC
ensembl:lncRNA novel transcript